AGAAGUAGACAAGAGAAUGUUUCAUUACAGAUAAAAAAAAAUCCUCAUUCUGUCUUUUUUGGUCUUUGAUCCCAGAACAAAAAACAACCAAAGCCUGGAGACCUGAUAGAGAUCUUCCGUUUAAGACACCACCAUUGGGCUGUGUACAUUGGCGGAGAAUAUGUAGUUCAUCUUGUAUUGAAUGAUGUGUGCUCAGGUGGCUGGCUGCCGGUAACAAGAGGUAUGGGAGUUGUGCCGGUACCAGGAGAGAUUGGAGUUGUGAAGAAACAGAAGCUGGAGGAAGUGGUGGGAAAUGAUCGCUGGAAAAUCAACAACUAUCUGGAUGAAAUAUACAAACCUCAACCGACUGAUGAGAUCGUGAAACAGGCUGAGGAAUUGAUUGGUACUCGGCUGCUGUACGGCAUGACUGAAAGUAACUGUGAACACUUUGCCACCAACCUGCGCUAUGGAAAGCACACAUUUCCACAGUUACUGGGCUUCAGGUCAUAUCUAUGAUUGAACGCAGCCUACCCCUGGCCUGGGUCUUUCUGCAGGGAGUUUGCAUGUUUUCCCUGCAGCAUUUUAAGGGUGUCAUAGAAUGGGUAAGAUUCUACCUCUGGGUUUUCCUUCCCUUUCCCUCCAUCAUUGUUCCCAUACAGGCUCUGUACCUUAGUCAUCUAUUCAUCCAUCCAUUGUUUAAUCUAUUCCUGCUGAUCAAUGCAGGGUCACAGGAGGCUGCUGCCUAUCUCCAGUGGUCGAAGCAAAGUUAUGUUGUGUUAUAUCAAAAUGAGGCUUCCUUGGUUUGCAAUAUUUUGGGUCAAGUGGCUGUUGUGAGGAGUUGGUGGAGAUAAAUCAGCUGUUUAGAGAUGAAUCUUUCAGGAAGUCUGACCGUAUGACUCCUUCCUGGACUAACUCUGUC